UACGAAGGGGGCGAGCGUUGUUCGGAUUUACUGGGCGUAAAGGGCGCGCAGGCGGUCAUUUUUGUCGAGUGUGAAAGCCCCGGGCUUAACCUGGGAACUGCGCUCGAAACGGGAUGACUAGAGAUCGGGAGAGGAGAGUGGAAUUCCCAGUGUAGAGGUGAAAUUCGUAGAUAUUGGGAAGAACACCGGUGGCGAAGGCGGCUCUCUGGACCGAUACUGACGCUGAGGCG
rnacentral:rRNA from 1 species